AGUAGCCUUCUCUUGGGGGCUUGAAUUAUUCAUGAGCAUCCAUGUGUUUUGUGUUUCUUGCUUAAUACUGCGGACGAUGCGGGCAGGAGGAGAAUGUAGCCAGCUGCAAACAGAGAUUCCUUCUUGAACAGGGUUAGCAGUUAGAGGAGGCUGGGAGUGGACAACGGUGAGGACUGGAUCUAAUUUUACAGGAAUUUGAAUCGAUAAACCUUCAAACUAAAGAACUGGCCAACAGCUGAGGAGACCCACGUUUUGUGUUAUCUACAGUUCAUUUUUGACCAGCUGUGUCCUCCUUAAACAAAGGACAAGGAUUCAGAGCAGUCACGAGGCGGGGAGAUUCAGAUGUGUGGCCAUUUUCAUGCUUCCCUGAGACUCACCCUUACACUCAUUUGUCCCGCUUGAAUUCAACGGCCCGAUGUGGCUAUUUUCGCUUUCCAGUGGACACGGCUAAGGUGCCUAGCCAUUUAUGUCGGGCUUCUACCAAAUAUUUCAGUUAAAGUCUUGUUCUGUUGAAGCCUGGCACAGAGUGGCAGUCACCGGAACACUCUUCUUCUAGAGACUUGGCCCCUUAGAAAGUUUUGGGCCACCUGAGCAAAUGGAAGCCAAUGCCAAAGCAAGAACUGGUUGAGAACAAUAAAAUCCCCAUUCAGUUCAGCCAUGGGAUGUCCAAUAGCAAGAGGAGAAAACUCUGAGCUCCUGAGACAUAUGGUUGUUGCCCCAUCAUCAUACACAUCGCACUGUCUUGUAAUUUCUUUUUGACUCAUCUCUGUUCCCCAACAGCUCACGGCUCGUGUCUGUCCUGUUCUCAUGGUGUCCUUAGCACCUAGCUCGGUACCUGACACAUAGGAUAUUCACAGUAAAUAUUUUUGAACAAAUGACUGUAACAUAUUCUGAAGUUUGAGUCACAUGAAUCUUAUAUUAUCCAUUUUUGUUUUACCUCCACCCUCUUUCU